AGAAGACCCUGUAGAGCUUCACUUUGGUCUAGUCUUGUAUAGUUCCUGCGGGGGUGUAGACUAGGUGGGAGAGCAAUCGAUUCUGAAAAACCACUACCCUGUUUGGAAUUAUGCUUACCUAUCACAAGGAAUAGGACUAGAUAGAAAGUUUGGCUGGGGCGGCACACCUUCGAAAGAGCAGCGAAGGUGUCCUAAGUUGAGCUCAGUGAGGACAGAAAUCUCACGUUGAGGAUAAGGCCAAAAGCUCAAUUUACUGUGCCUUUUUGUACUAGGAUCAGUUACGAAAGUAAGGCCUAACGAUCCCUAAAUAGCCUCAGGUGCGUGAGGAUUGGGGUGACAGACAAGUUACCUCCGGGACAACUGGCUUGUGGCUGCUAAGAGAUCAAAUCAACGCAGCUUUUUGAUUCUUCGAUGUCGGCUCUUCCUAUCCUAGUGAUGUACAAGUUGCUAAGGGUCGGAUUGUUCACCCGUAUUAGGGAUCGUGAGCUGGGUUUAGACCGUCGUGAGCCAGGUUUGUUUUAUCCUACUGGAUAUAGCAUCAUGAUAGUAGAUUGAUUUAGUACGAGAGGAACUGUUGAUUAUGGCCUCUGGUUAGCGAUUAUCGGAAACGGUAUGUCGCGCAGCUACGCCGUCUGGGAUAAUGGCUGAAAGCCUCUUAAGCCAGAAGCCCAUCUAGAAAGUGAUGCACGUGAUGUUGGACCGAUACGAAUAAUCAUACUCAAAAGGUCCGCUUCAUAGGUAACCCAAUGUAGAAGACAUUGUGUGAACGAAGGUACUGUAAGCAGUGGAGUGGCAUUACGUCCACGACCUGUUGAGGUUCAGCUUCGCUUCUAGGUUUCC
rnacentral:ncRNA from 1 species